AUUGAACGCUGGCGGCAGGCCUAACACAUGCAAGUCGAACGAGUGGCGGACGGGUGAGUAAUGUCUGGGAAACUGCCUGUUGGAGGGGGAUAACUACUGGAAACGUUAGCUAAAACCGCAUACCGUCGGGUGUGCCCAGAUGGGAUUAGCUAGUUGGUGGGGGAAGGGCUCACCUAGGCGACGAUCCCUAGCUGGGCGGAGAGGAUGACCAGCCACACUGGAACUGAGAGCCGGUCCAGACUCCUACGGGAGGCAGCAGUGGGGAAUAUUGCACAAUGGGCGCAAGCCUGAGGCAGCCAUGCCGCGUGUAUGAAGAAGGCCUUCGGGUUGUAAAGUACUUUCAGCGGGGAGGCGGUACCCGCAGAAGAAGCACCGGCUAACUCCGUGCCAGCAGCCGCGGUAAUAC
rnacentral:rRNA from 1 species